UACGAAGGGGGCUAGCGUUGCUCGGAAUGACUGGGCGUAAAGGGCGCGUAGGCGGUUUGUACAGUCAGGUGUGAAAUUCCCGGGCUCAACCUGGGGGCUGCACUUGAUACGUAGGAACCUGAGUGGGGAAGAGGGUCGUGGAAUUCCCAGUGUAGAGGUGAAAUUCGUAGAUAUUGGGAAGAACACCGGUGGCGAAGGCGGCGACCUGGUCCUUGACUGACGCUGAGGCGCGAAAGCGUGGGGAGCAAACAGG
rnacentral:rRNA from 1 species